AUGAAGGCGAAGCACAGAAAUAUAGUACGAUUUCUGGGAUAUUGUAGCGACAGACAAGAGGAAUUCUUAAAAUAUGAAGGAAAAUCUAUCAUGGCUGGCAUUCAAGAAAGGUUACUCUGCUUUGAGUAUGUACAGAAGGGGGAUCUUGUGAAGUAUAUCUCUGAUGCAUCUAGUGGACUUGAAUGGCGGGAUCGCUACAAAAUAAUAAAAGGAAUCUGUGAGGGAUUGAAUUACCUUCACACACAAAAUAUUGUUCACCUGGAUCUUAAGCCAGCAAAUAUACUCAUGGACGAUAAAAUGGUGCCGAAAAUCACUGACUUUGGUGUAUCGAGGUGCUUCAAAGAUGACCAAACCCGCACUAUUGUUACAAGAGUUGCUGGAACCCCUGGAUAUCUGGCACCAGAAUUCACCAAUGGCAUAAUUACAUUCAAAUAUGACGUGUACGCUCUUGGUGUUAUAAUCAUGGAGAUACUGACUGGAGCAAAAGGAUACCAUGAACCUAGGGAAGUACUUGAAAGGUGGAGCAAUAGGCUGGAAACACCACAGAAACUGCAAGUACGAGUAUGCACUAACAUAGCAAUAGAGAGCCUUGAUUUCAAUCCUGCGAGAAGACCAACUGGUAUACAAAAUGUAAUUGAUAGGCUUACUGAAACGGAAAGCACGGGAACGAGGGACCAACUUGACGUGUACCUUGUCGAGCUUCGCUUCCCUGUCAGAACCAACACAGAUGAACACACGGUAUUCAGGCUUAUAAAGAAGAGCACCAAGCCGUGGCGUUGCUUUGCAAGUCUCCCACUAUACGGCAUUGUGCCUUCCAGGUUCACCACAUACACUCUCGUUGUUACAACGCAACAGCAAGAGAGGCUACCAGAAGAAACGGAGUAUGAUCUGAUCCUGCAGAGCAGUCUGUCUGGAGAUAAAAAAAUCCCUACUUCGAGAGACCAAUCUAAGUAUAAAAAGUUAUUCGACGAAGCUAAAGAGUCAGGGAGUGAAGUGCGUGAGGUGAUGCUGAAAACUGUUUUUGCUUCCGCGCCUGAUGUAUCUUUUUUUCAGACAAUCUCAAGAAGAAUAAAGGAUCAACGGAUCAUAUCCCUUAAGAAUACUAAUGGUGUUCUGUGCUCCCUUGAUGCACACCCUACGGAGCCAUGCAUUAUAACAGGUCAUCAGAACGGAGAUGUUUGCAUAUGGAACUAUGACACGCAGAGACAGAUGGAUUCGUUUAGUGUCUCGAAGGAGUCAGUCAUGCCUUCUUACGUACCAAAAAAAGUUCAUUCCGUUAAAGUUGUCUCAAGAAAGAAAUGGUUUGUGGCUGGAACAUCUGAUGGUGUGAUCCACGUGUACAAUUAUGACAACAAAAUACAGAAACUCAGAAGCUUCAGAGCCGCCAGUGAUUGCUUCAUCACAUCAAUGGCCGUCAAUCCAACCCGUCCGUACGUAUUGUCAUCGGCUUAUCGUGAUAUGAAGCUCUGGGACUGGAGCAAGGGAUGGGAGUGCAGACAUUCAUUCGUGGAAGAACACUCCGAUACUAUACGUCAAGUCGCAUUUAACCCAAUGGACACCAGCAUUUUUGCAAGUGCUUCAGAUGAUCUCACGGUAAAGGUUUGGAGCAUUAAUUCUCCUGAAUCUAAAUAUACUUUGUCUGGGCAUCUGGACAAAGUGAACUGUCUCGAUUUCUUCACAUGUGAUGAUCGACAAUAUUUGAUUACUGGCUCUGACGACCACACUGCUAAGAUAUGGGACAUGGAGGAAAAGGCCUGUGUUCAUACAAUGGAAGCUUUCAUGUCUCCAGUAAUUUCUGUCAUUGCCUUCCCCGGUAGCCCAUAUCUGAUUACAGGUUCAAGAGAUGGCUCUGUUUAUUUCUGGAGCUCCAGUGAAUUCAGUGAAUUCUGCAAAGUUCCUAGGCUGGAGAGAAUCGUGAACUUCGGCUCUGGUGGAGCUAUUUGGGGUUUCGGACGUUUCAUGGGGUCAAGAAGGAUUGUGAUCGGACAAGAGUACACGGUGUCAAUCAUGGCCAUCGACAAUGAAGAAGAACCAUUUGCUAGUGAGGAGAGCAAUGAUAAGUCCAUAUGA
rnacentral:rRNA from 1 species